UACGUAGGGGGCUAGCGUUGUCCGGAUUUAUUGGGCGUAAAGAGCGUGUAGGCGGCCAGGUAGGUCUGCUGUGAAAACUCGAGGCUCAACCUCGAGACGUCGGCGGAAACCAUCUGGCUAGAGUCCGGAAGAGGAGAGUGGAAUUCCUGGUGUAGCGGUGAAAUGCGUAGAUAUCUGGAGGAAUACCGGUGGCGAAGGCGGCAUCCUGGACCGACAUUGACGCUGAACGGCGAAAGCUAGGGGAGCAAACGGG
rnacentral:rRNA from 1 species